UGCCAAUGAUGAUUGAAGUGAUAUUCAUUCAUGAGAAAUCUUUGAUUACAGCAACACUACUGCCUUCCUUCUGAGGCG
rnacentral:snoRNA from 1 species